rnacentral:rRNA from 1 species
ACUCCUACGGGAGGCAGCAGUGGGGAAUAUUGCACAAUGGGCGCAAGCCUGAUGCAGCGACGCCGCGUGAGGGAUGACGGCCUUCGGGUUGUAAACCUCUUUCGCCAGGGACGAAGCGCAAGUGACGGUACCUGGAGAAGAAGCACCGGCCAACUACGUGCCAGCAGCCGCGGUAAUACGUAGGGUGCGAGCGUUGUCCGGAAUUACUGGGCGUAAAGAGCUCGUAGGUGGUUUGUCGCGUUGUUCGUGAAAACUCACAGCUUAACUGUGGGCGUGCGGGCGAUACGGGCAGACUGGAGUACUGCAGGGGAGACUGGAAUUCCUGGUGUAGCGGUGGAAUGCGCAGAUAUCAGGAGGAACACCGGUGGCGAAGGCGGGUCUCUGGGCAGUAACUGACGCUGAGGAGCGAAAGCGUGGGGAGCGAACAGGAUUAGAUACCCUGGUAGUCCACGCCGUAAACGGUGGGUACUAGGUGUGGGUUUCCUUCCUUGGGAUCCGUGCCGUAGCUAACGCAUUAAGUACCCCGCCUGGGGAGUACGGCCGCAAGGCUAAAACUCAAAGGAAUUGACGGGGGCCCGCACAAGCGGCGGAGCAUGUGGAUUAAUUCGAUGCAACGCGAAGAACCUUACCUGGGUUUGACAUGCACAGGAC